rnacentral:rRNA from 1 species
UGGGGAAUUUUGGACAAUGGGGGAAACCCUGAUCCAGCCAUCCCGCGUGUGCGAUGAAGGCCUUCGGGUUGUAAAGCACUUUUGGCAGGAAAGAAACGUCAUGGGUUAAUACCCCGUGAAACUGACGGUACCUGCAGAAUAAGCACCGGCUAACUACGUGCCAGCAGCCGCGGUAAUACGUAGGGUGCAAGCGUUAAUCGGAAUUACUGGGCGUAAAGCGUGCGCAGGCGGUUCGGAAAGCAAGAUGUGAAAUCCCAGAGCUCAACUUUGGAACUGCAUUUUUAACUACCGGGCUAGAGUGUGUCAGAGGGAGGUGGAAUUCCGCGUGUAGCAGUGAAAUGCGUAGAUAUGCGGAGGAACACCGAUGGCGAAGGCAGCCUCCUGGGAUAACACUGACGCUCAUGCACGAAAGCGUGGGGAGCAAACAGG